GAUCCUCUCCACUUGCGUUGAACUUCAAAAGGUCUUCCUGUCCAGCAACAAUCUCUCUCAGAUCUUUUUCCCCGGCUGCAAAAACCUGAUUAGUAUCAACAUCUCGUUCAACCAGAUAUCGGGAGAGUUAUUCGCUCCCGAAAGCAGAUGUACCUCACUGAAAGUUCUCGCUAUCGCUCGCAACGCCUUCUCCGGGGAUUUCUUCUCGCUGUUUGGAGCAAGCCAGCGCUCGCACAACUCCAGCUCGAGCAGCUUCUUUCCCGUCGUUGAGAGGAUCGAUGCCGCCUACAACAAAUUCACGGGUGAGGUUCCAGCGCAUAUUGGAGUGCUCACGAGGUACAUGGAUCUCAGCUCCAACAAUCUCACCACCAUAGGAAACCAGCAGCUUUGCAGCUCCAACUCAAGCCUGGAAAGUUUG
rnacentral:lncRNA from 1 species